rnacentral:lncRNA from 1 species
GAUACAUGAUCCCUUAAUUCAGGCUCAGGCUGAAGAACUGACCCACUUACGACAGAAGAUACAAGAAGGGAGAGGUGUCUGCUACCUUUUCACCCAGCAUGUGAAGAACACAGUCAAGUCUUUUGAGGGCCUUCUCAGGAACACUGGCAUUGCCUACUACCAGAGACAGAGAUUCUGUGAGCAAAUGGUACAAGGAAGCCAGCUAACAGAGAUCCUUGUCAGAAAACUUGCCACAGAGUCUGCUCUCUAACCCGAGCUAGAGUGCAGUGACGCGAUCUUGGCUGACUGCAGUCUGUGCCUCCUGGGCUCAAGCAGUCAUCCCACCUCAGCCUCCCAAGUAGCUGGGACUACAGGUGUGUGCCACCACACCUGGCUAAUUUUCAUAUUUUUUGUAGAGACAGGGUUUCUCCAUGUUGCCCAGGCUGGUCUUGAACUACUGAGCUCAAGUGACCCAUCUGCUGUGGCCUCCCAAAGUUCUGGGAUUACAGAUAUGAGCCACUGUGCCUGGCCUGAGAGUUCUUAGUUUCAAUCAGUAAGAGA